rnacentral:lncRNA from 1 species
CGCUGCUCUCGCCUCCGUUUUUUGUGAGAGAAGGAAGAGCGAAGGCAGGUCCGGUCCCGAAUGUGAAGAUUCCUCUGGAGUCUAGCGAUUCGUCGCGUUUGGGAAGAUAUCAGGGCGCGAAGGAGGAACUGGAACGAGGUGAUCCUCUUCCUCGUUCGUGAUUUGAGUUCGGGAACGCAGUCCGAGGUAAGAUGAGGUUUCUAAUGGCGCUGUUGUUUAGCUCAUGUUAAACGCCGGAUUCUUGUCAUGAUCGGGACGAAUUUCGGACGAUUGGAUACUCUGCAAGGUCUCUGAAGAUUUUAUUUAGAUAUUUCUCGCAGGAGUUCUCUUUUCCAUUUCGGUGGCUUCUUAUAUUCUGCUCUGCACUUGUUCCUGUCCGCUCGCGAAUUUUUGUUUCUAUCGUGAAUACUGAAUUUUAGCGAGAGGAACAGAGUGGGGGAGGUGAGGAAGGGCAGCACAGAGGUGUUGUUAACAACGAGUGCACUCAACUGUGAGGGAACGGCAGUAAGAGGACGAAUGGGACGGGGUGGAGAGCAAGGAAGUAGUUGAACAGAUCGGGGCGUUGAAUUGACAUUUGAUAGUGAUCAAAAAGUUUCGGAACUCUUGGAACAGGUAGCACCCGGUAGAAAACAGACAGCGAAUACAGCCUCGCAGAUGGUAGGGUGGCACCCGACGGCUCUUACGAUCCUCUGGCAAGUAGACGACAGGCUACUAGAGGGAACAUACCACGGACCAUCUUCAUCUAAAGUCAUGAGCCACUCUUAUCUCUGAGAAACAGGAUUUUUCUCUAGGUUUGAACCGCGAAAGGGGUCGUCUCUGUUAACGAUUCGCUUUGUGGACGAAAGGGAACUGGUGCUUUCUACUUCUCCAGGGCAUUUAUUACCGUCGAAAACACCUGCCCAAGAUGGUCGAAGUAUUAUUUAGAUAUGUGCCCCUGAAUUGCAUGGAAUCUCUCAGCGAAACAGAGAUCUGGCAUUUCAAAUUCUAAUUCCACGAUCAAUGAUGAACUUCAGAGGCAUGGAGCACGUCGCGAGAAAGUUGUGUACUCAUGGGUUUUUUUAAUGAACAAGAUCAGGAAUGUUUUUGCCUACCUUAGCUUAGUUCUUUCUCCACAAACAUCUAUGCUUGUGAUUUUCUAAUGCCUCUGGAUGAACAUUAUUUUUCCCUUACAGUUGUUUCUUUUUUCCGACAUAUAUUUUCCUUUUAAAUUACUUAUUGAUUUAUUUGUGAUAUUUUUAUCUUCACUUACCCACUAGUUGUUGGAGUUUGCGUAGCCUAGAGAAGCUAAUUUCAAAUAUAACGAAGUCGCUGGGUAGCUGAUCGAUUAUUGACCUCUGACAG